GAUGAACGCUGGCGGCGUGCCUAAUACAUGCAAGUCGAGCGAACGGACGAGAAGCUUGCUUCUCUGAUGUUAGCGGCGGACGGGUGAGUAACACGUGGAUAACCUACCUAUAAGACUGGGAUAACUUCGGGAAACCGGAGCUAAUACCGGAUAAUAUUUUGAACCGCAUGGUUCAAAAGUGAAAGACGGUCUUGCUGUCACUUAUAGAUGGAUCCGCGCUGCAUUAGCUAGUUGGUAAGGUAACGGCUUACCAAGGCAACGAUGCAUAGCCGACCUGAGAGGGUGAUCGGCCACACUGGAACUGAGACACGGUCCAGACUCCUACGGGAGGCAUCAGUAGGGAAUCUUCCGCAAAGGGCGAAAGCCUGACGGAGCAACGCCGCGUGAGUGAUGAAGGUCUUCGGAUCGUAAAACUCUGUUAUUAGGGAAGAACAUAUGUGUAAGUAACUGUGCACAUCUUGACGGUACCUAAUCAGAAAGCCACGGCUAACUACGUG
rnacentral:rRNA from 1 species